rnacentral:tRNA from 1 species
GAUGAGGUGGCCGAGUGUUUAAGCGGUGGGUUGUAGCCCCAAAGACAGAGGUUCAAUUCCUCUCCCCAUCC